rnacentral:misc_RNA from 1 species
AUGCGAUAAGUAAUGUGAAUUGCAGAAUUCAGUGAAUCAUCGAAUCUUUGAACGCACAUUGCGCCCGCCAGUAUUCUGGCGGGCAUGCCUGUUCGAGCGUCAUUUCAACCCUCAAGCCCAGCUUGGUGUUGGGGAUCGGCACAGGCGCCCUCGGGCGCCCGCCGUCCCCUAAAUCUAGUGGCGGUCCCGCUGCAGCCUCCUCUGCGUAGUAGUUUUCUCCUCGCAAGGGCAGCUCGGUGGCGACCUCGCCGUAAAACCCCCAACUUCUGAAAGGUUGACCUCGAAUCAGGUAGGAAUACCCGCUGAACUUAA